CCUACGGGAGACAGCAGUGGGGAAUAUUGCACAAUGGGGGAAACCCUGAUGCAGCGACGCCGCGUGAAGGAAGAAGUAUUUCGGUAUGUAAACUUCUAUCAGCAGGGAAGAAAAUGACGGUACCUGACUAAGAAGCCCCGGCUAACUCCGUGCCAGCAGCCGCGGUAAUACGGAGGGGGCAAGCGUUAUCCGGAUUUACUGGGUGUAAAGGGAGCGUAGGCGGUUCAGCAAGUCAGAAGUGAAAGCCCGGGGCUCAACUCCGGGACUGCAUUUGAAACUGUUGAACUAGAUUACAGGAGAGGUAAGUGGAAUUCCUGGUGUAGCGGUGAAAUGCGUAGAUAUUAGGAGGAACCCCAGUGGCGAAGGCGGCUUACUGAACUGUAAAUGACGCUGAGGCUCGAAAGCGUGGGGAGCAAACAGGAUUAGAUACCCCUGUAGUC
rnacentral:rRNA from 1 species